GGCACUUUGGCGGAGUGGUUAACGCGAUGCCCUGCUAAGGCAUUUCCUUCGGGAGCGUGAGUUCGAAUCUCACAGGUGUCG
rnacentral:tRNA from 1 species